CCUACGGGAGGCAGCAGUGGGGAAUAUUGGGCAAUGGGCGCAAGCCUGACCCAGCAACGCCGCGUGAAGGAUGAAGGUUUUCGGGUUGUAAACUUCUUUUCUCAGGGACGAAGCAAGUGACGGUACCUGAGGAAUAAGCCACGGCUAACUACGUGCCAGCAGCCGCGGUAAUACGUAGGUGGCAAGCGUUAUCCGGAUUUACUGGGUGUAAAGGGCGUGUAGGCGGGACUGCAAGUCAGAUGUGAAAACCACGGGCUCAACCUGUGGCCUGCAUUUGAAACUGUAGUUCUUGAGUGCUGGAGAGGCAGACGGAAUUCCUAGUGUAGCGGUGAAAUGCGUAGAUAUUAGGAGGAACACCAGUGGCGAAGGCGGUCUGCUGGACAGCAACUGACGCUGAGGCGCGAAAGCGUGGGGAGCAAACAGGAUUAGAUACCCUGGUAGUC
rnacentral:rRNA from 1 species